rnacentral:rRNA from 1 species
UACGGGGGGGGCAAGCGUUGUUCGGAAUUACUGGGCGUAAAGGGCUCGUAGGCGGCCAACUAAGUCAGACGUGAAAUCCCCAGGCUCAACCUGGGAACUGCGUCUGAUACUGGAUGGCUUGAAUCCGGGAGAGGGAUGCAGAAUUCCAGGUGUAGCGGUGAAAUUCGUAGAUAUGCGGAGGAACACCGAUGGCGAAGGCAAUCCCCUGGGCCUGUACUGACGCUCAUGCACGAAAGCGUGGGGAGCAAACAGG